UACGUAGGGUGCGAGCGUUGUCCGGAAUUAUUGGGCGUAAAGAGCUCGUAGGCGGUUUGUCGCGUCUGCUGUGAAAUCCCGAGGCUCAACUUCGGGUCUGCAGUGGGUACGGGCAGGCUAGAGUGCGGUAGGGGAGAAUGGAACUCCUGGUGUAGCGGUGGAAUGCGUAGAGAUCCGGAGGAACACCAGCGGCGAAGGCGGCAUCCUGGACUGGUACUGACGCUCAAGAGCGAAAGCGUGGGGAGCGAUCCGG
rnacentral:rRNA from 1 species